rnacentral:rRNA from 1 species
AGUUUGAUCCUGGGCUCAGGACGGACGCCGGGGGGCAAGCCUAAUACCUGCAAGUCGAACGCGGGAACCCUUGGCUUGCAGAGUGCGGAUGAGUGGCGAACCGGGUGAGUAACACGUGGGAAAUCUGCAUAGGAGUGGGGGAUAACAUUGGAAAACGGAUGCUAAUACCGCAUAUCUUUUUGAACCGCAUGGUUCUUAAACGAAAGACGGCUUCGGCUGUCGCUCUUAGAUGAUCCCGCGGCGUAUUAGUUAGUUGGUGGGGUAAAGGCCUACCAAGACCAUGAUACGUAGCCGACCUGAGAGGGUGAUCGGCCACACUGGGACUGAGACACGGCCCAGACUCCUACGGGAGGCAGCAGUAGGGAAUCUUCCACAAUGGGUGAAAACCUGAUGGAGCAAUGCCGCGUGAAUGAAGAAGGUCUUCGGAUCGUAAAGUUCUGUUAUUAGAGAAGAACAAGUCAAGGAGUAACUGUCUUGACUUUGACGGUACCUAACCAGAAAGUCACGGCUAACUACGUGCCAGCAGCCGCGGUAAUACGUAGGUGACAAGCGUUGUCCGGAAUUAUUGGGCGUAAAGGGAGCGCAGGCGGUUGGAAUAGUCUGAUGUGAAAGCCCACGGCUUAACCGUGGAAGGUCAUUGGAAACUGUCCAACUUGAAUACAGAAGAGGUAAGUGGAAUUCCAAGUGUAGCGGUGAAAUGCGUAGAUAUUUGGAGGAACACCAGUGGCGAAGGCGACUUACUGGUCUGUAAUUGACGCUGAGGCUCGAAAGCGUGGGUAGCAAACAGGAUUAGAUACCCUGGUAGUCCACGCCGUAAACGAUGAGUGCUAAGUGUUAGGGGGUUUCCGCCCCUUAGUGCUGGAGUUAACGCA